rnacentral:rRNA from 1 species
GACGAACCGUGCGAACGUUGUUCGGAUUCACUGGGCUUAAAGGGCGCGUAGGCGGGCGGUCAAGUCGGGGGUGAAAUCUUUCCGCUUAACGGAAAGCGUGCCUCCGAUACUGAUCGCCUCGAGGGAGGUAGGGGCAUGUGGAACUUCCGGUGGAGCGGUGAAAUGCGUAGAUAUCGGAAGGAACGCCGGUGGCGAAAGCGACGUGCUGGACCUCUUCUGACGCUGAGGCGCGAAAGCUAGGGGAGCAAACGGG